AUCCAUCUGACAAGUCUCAAAUAGGACGAAACGUUAGUCCUGGAU
rfam:Schistosoma margrebowiei strain Zambia genome assembly, scaffold: SMRZ_contig0000751